rnacentral:rRNA from 1 species
AGUGAACGCUGGCGGUAGGCCUAACACAUGCAAGUCGAACGGCAGCACAGUAAGAGCUUGUCCUUACGGGUGGCGAGUGGCGGACGGGUGAGGAAUACAUCGGAAUCUACUUUUUCGUGGGGGAUAACGUAGGGAAACUUACGCUAAUACCGCAUAUGAUCUACGGGUGAAAGCAGGGGAUAUUCGGACUUUGCGCGAUUGAAUGAGCUGAUGCCGGAUUAGCUAGUUGGGAAGGUAAAGGCCUACCAAGGCAACGAUCCAUGGCCGACCUGAGAGGAUGAUCGGCCACACGGGAACUGAGACACGGGCCAGACUCCUACGGGAGGCAGCAGUAGGGAAUCGGCCGCAAUGGGAGAAAUCCUGAUGGAGCAACGCCGCGUGAGUGAUGAAGGUCUUCGGAUCGUAAAACUCUGUUAUUAGGGAAGAACAUAUGUGUAAGUACCUGUGAACAUCUUGACGGUACCGAAUCAGAAAGCCAGGGCUAACUACGUG